UCGUAUAAAAUGGAGGUGCUAGGGCUGUCGCUGACCCCUUCGAAGGUCGUGCACGCCCGGAGCACUCUCUCAUAUCCAUCUCACCCCUUUGUGCAUUGCCGCGUGGGUCCCCCUUUUGGCUUGUUCCGAGGGGGACCUGCGUUUUUACAUAGACACCCUUUGAAUGCAUGUGUAGAACGUCUUACUUUUUGCGAUCACACGCAAUCAAUA
rnacentral:misc_RNA from 1 species